AACGCACAUUGCGCCCUUCGGUUAUUCCUUAGGGCAUGCCUGUUCGAGCGUCAUUUCAACCUUCAAGCUCAGCUUGGUGUUGGGUGUUUGUCCCGCCCCCCGCGCGUGGACUCGCCUCAAAUUGAUUGGCAGCCGCAUCCCCCCGCCGCGAGCGCAGCACAGUCGCGCUUACGACGUGGGUGGGUCGGCGAUCCAGAAGCCUAUUUCAACGUCUUGACCUCGGAUCAGGUAGGGAUACCCGCUGAACUUAA
rnacentral:misc_RNA from 2 species